rnacentral:rRNA from 1 species
GAUAAACGCUGGCGGCGUGCAUGAGACAUGCAAGUCGAACGAAGGAUCGGGCUUGCUCGAUCCUUAGUGGCGGACGGCUGAGUAACGCGUAGGUGACCUACCCCGAAGUGGGGAAUAACUGCCCGAAAGGGUGGCUAAUACCGCAUGGGGUCGCACGUUCAUUCGUGCGAGUAAAGCCGCAAGGCGCUUCGGGAGGGGCCUGCGUCCGAUUAGCUCGUUGGUGGGGUAAUGGCUUACCAAGGCGACGAUCGGUAGGUGGUCUGAGAGGACGAUCACCCAGACUGGGACUGAGACACGGCCCAGACUCCUACGGGAGGCAGCAGUCGGGAAUUUUGCGCAAUGGGGGAAACCCUGAAGCAGCAACGCCGCGUGAGGGAUGAAGGCCUUCGGGUUGUAAACCUCUUUUGUCAGGGACGAUGAUGACGGUACCUGGCGAAUAAGCCACGGCUAACUACGUG